CGGAAUCUGCCUAUUUGUGGGGGAUAACGUAGGGAAACUUACGCUAAUACCGCAUACGACCUACGGGUGAAAGCGGAGGACCUUCGGGCUUCGCGCAGAUAGAUGAGCCGAUGUCGGAUUAGCUAGUUGGCGGGGUAAAGGCCCACCAAGGCGACGAUCCGUAGCUGGUCUGAGAGGAUGAUCAGCCACACUGGAACUGAGACACGGUCCAGACUCCUACGGGAGGCAGCAGUGGGGAAUAUUGGACAAUGGGCGCAAGCCUGAUCCAGCCAUGCCGCGUGGGUGAAGAAGGCCUUCGGGUUGUAAAGCCCUUUUGUUGGGAAAGAAAAGCAGCCGGUGAAUACCCGGUUGUUCUGACGGUACCCAAAGAAUAAGCACCGGCUAACUUCGUGCCAGCAGCCGCGGUAAUACGAAGGGUGCAAGCGUUACUCGGAAUUACUGGGCGUAAAGCGUGCGUAGGUGGUUUGUUAAGUCUGAUGUGAAAGCCCUGGGCUCAACCUGGGAAUUGCAUUGGAUACUGGCAGGCUAGAGUGCGGUAGAGGGUAGUGGAAUUCCCGGU
rnacentral:rRNA from 1 species